UACGGGGGGGGGGGCAAGCGUUGUUCGGAAUUACUGGGCGUAAAGGGUUUGUAGGUGGUCUGCUAAGUCAGACGUGAAAUCCCUCAGCUUAACUGGGGAACUGCGUCUGAUACUGGCGGACUUGAGGACAGGAGAGGACGCGGAAUUCCAGGUGUAGCGGUGAAAUGCGUAGAUAUCUGGAGGAACACCGGUGGCGAAGGCGGCGACCUGGGUCGAUACUGACGCUGAGGUGCGAAAGCGUGGGGAGCAACAGG
rnacentral:rRNA from 1 species